GGAUGAUGGGUGUAAGUGUAAAGUUAUAGAAACAUUCUUUUUUGAACUCACUUGACCAAAUACAAAAAGUGUUUAUUCAAAUUGUUGCCCAGCUUCUCAAUAUUACAACUGAACCUCUACUGCUAGUUCUUCAAGGGAAUCACUUGAGCUUUAUUUGUAAUAUUAAUACUAAUACCACUGCCCUGCAAAAAGUUAAUGAAUGCUAUCUAAUGCAUUUCUUUUUUCCAUGAUUACAUAAUAUACUCUUGUGAGUUCUGCUAUGUAGCAUAUAGAAUGUGAAAUUUAUUGCAUGUAUAAGCAGUUUAAAAUACCGGUAUAGAUUUAUAUCACUUCAUACAAAUACAUUGGACAUGUUUAAAUGAGACUCAUCAUUUGUGAAUGAAAACAAGGUUGAGCUACUAGUGAAGUAGUUUUAUACUGCAGUACCUAGUUGAUGUGCUAUUGAAUGUUUUGUGGUAGGUAAUUCCUAUUUUCUGUAGCCAGAAGAGUGCUGCUAAGAAAUUUUAACUUUAAAAACGAAAAAAAAAAGUCACUUUUUUUAAAGAGAUCUCUGGACACGUAAUUUGAACUUGCGAAAAAGUGUAUUAAUAUAUACAUUUGACGAAGAAAACAACUCAUUACAAAAUACAUGAAUAAUAGUUUAGCCUACAGCAAUUCUACUUGGUAUGGUGCACAGCUCACUCCUGCUAAAGUUUUUAAAGGUUACGGUACUUCGCUUUUGUCGUCACAGUCCUCACCGCAAGUGACACUAGCCUGAUGAAACUGGACCAAGGAGUUAUCAGGUUUGUACACACACAUACACUAUAUAGAUUUAGGUCAAUAAUUGUAUGAUUAUUAUCAAACGUAAGCGUAGUUUGUUAGGCUCCAAGUCGUUACAUUACUGCACAAGUAUAAUACUGGCACCUGUAAUAAUAAUCUGAAUAAUUUUCAUAAAUAGAUUCUUUAGUGAAUUCAGUGUUCAAAACUAGAUAUAGAUCAUUUAUGUAUACAUUUUAGCUCUAAACCUUCAGCUCUGCUUUCUUACUUUUGAAGCACUAACAAUGUAUUAGGACUAUUAAGUCAACCACAUUGAUCUUAAAAUAGAACGACAUUGCUAUUGUUUCAUCUAUUUACUUCAGCAUCUUUUUUUUUCAAGUUCCAUUUUAUAGCCCCCCCCCCCCCCCCG